rnacentral:rRNA from 1 species
UACAGAGGGGGCAAGCGUUGUUCGGAAUUACUGGGCGUAAAGGGCGCGUAGGCGGCCUUCUAAGUCGAACGUGAAAUCCCUGGGCUCAACCCAGGAACUGCGUCCGAUACUGGGAGGCUUGAAUCCGGGGAGAGGGAUGCGGAAUUCCAGGUGUAGCGGUGAAAUGCGUAGAUAUCUGGAGGAACACCGGUGGCGAAGGCGGCAUCCUGGACCGGCAUUGACGCUGAGGCGCGAAAAGCCAGGGGGAGCAA